GAUGAACGCUGGCGGCGUGCCUAAUACAUGCAAGUCGAGCGAACAGAUGAGGAGCUUGCUCCUCUGACGUUAGCGGCGGACGUGUGAGUAACACGUGGAUAACCUACCUAUAAGACUGGGAUAACUUCGGGAAACCGGAGCUAAUACCGGAUAAUAUAUUGAACCGCAUGGUUCAAUAGUGAAAGACGGUUUUGCUGUCACUUAUAGAUGGAUCCGCGCCGCAUUAGCUAGUUGGUAAGGUAACGGCUUAUCAAGGCAACGAUGCGUAGCCGAGCUGAGAGGGUGAUAGGCCACACUGGAACUGAGACACCGUCCAGACUCCUACGGGAGGCAGCAGUCGGGAAUCUUCCGCAAUGGGCGAAAGCCUGACGGAGCAACGCCGCGUGAGUGAUGACGGUCUUCGGAUCGUAAAACUCUGUUAUUAGGGAAGAACAAAUGUGUAAGUAACUAUGCCCGUCUUGACGGUACCUAAUCAGAAAGCCACGGCUAACUACGUG
rnacentral:rRNA from 1 species